rnacentral:rRNA from 1 species
UACAGAGGUGGCAAGCGUCGUUCGGAAUUACUGGGCGUAAAGGGCGCGUAGGCGGCCUUCUAAGUCAGACGUGAAAUCCCCCGGCUUAACCUGGGAACUGCGUCUGAUACUGGAGGGCUUGAGUAUGGGAGAGGGAUGUAGAAUUCCAGGUGUAGCGGUGAAAUGCGUAGAUAUUCGCAAGAACACCAGUGGCGAAGGCGGCUCACUGGCCCGGUACUGACGCUGAGGUGCGAAAGCGUGGGGAGCAAACAGG